GCGUGAGCCACCGUGCCCGGCUGAUCCACCUAUUUUUAACCAGAAGCAAGAAUCACAGUAUAAAGGCAAAGGCUAUGUCUAUUUCAUUCACCAAGAAAUACAUAGUGCCUAGCAGUUUACAGUACUCCAUAGACAUUCAUAAUUUGUGAAAUAAAAGAAUGCUUCAGUUGUCCAGAGUAUUUUCCUGCUCUGAUUUACCUUCUACAAUGGCCAAGAGAAUGUGGUGAUAGAAUUGGGAUAUAGCACUAGUUUUGAUGAUGCAAAUACAUCCAGAAAAAUUAAACAAAAAUGAUUGUAUGUACCAGGGGGAAAAAAAGAACACUUCAGGUAGACUAAUUCCAAGAGCCAGUUAAACUGAAAUGGAAACUAGGAGCCAUGAUCAGUAAGUCUGGAGAAAGAAUUGCAAUGUGCCUAUUAAAUAUUCUCAGGAAUAGUUUAGUUUAAAAUCUUCUCAGUGACUUUAUUAUUUAUUUCUCUAUAAGUAUAACUCAGCAUAUAUACCUAUAUACUUUUAUAAAAAUUAAUUUGAUUAAUUAAAGUUGUUUUUUAAAACAAAACUCACAUAGUAGACUAACUCCUCUUAAACUCUUUGGCCUUUGCUUUUCUUUACCCUCUUAAAAGCUGAAGAAUAAAGGCAGGGCACAGAGGCUCACGCCUAUAAUCCCAGCACUUUGGGAGGCUGAGGGAGGAGGAUUGUUUGAGCUCAGGAGUUCGAGACCAGCCUGGGCAACAUAGUGAGAUCCUGUCUCUAUGAAAAGAAAUAACGAUAAUAAAUAAAAAUAUAAUAUCAAAGACUUGUGGAACGUAAGAACUCUUGCUUAUGUGGUUUAUAGUUAUCAGUAUUUCGUGUAUGAGGAAAAACAAUUUUUUUUUUUUAGACUGUCACCCAGGCUGGAGUGCAGUGAUGCAAACAUGGCUUACUGCAGCCUGGACUUCCCGGGCUCAAGUAAUCCUCCUGUGUAGCUGGGACCACAGGCGCCAGCCAUCAUGCCCAGCCAAUUUGUCUGGUUUUUUUGUAGAGACGAAGUCUCACUUUGUUGCCUAGGCUGGUUGAUAAUUUUUUUGUUAAUUAUUAAUUAUUCAGAAAUAACAAGGCCAUACAUGAUAACUCAUGCCUAUAAUCUCAGCACUUUGGGAGGCUGAAGUGGGAGGAUCGCUUGUGCCCCGGAGUCCCAGGCUGCAGUGAACUAUGAUCACGCCACUGCACUCCAGCCUGAGUGACAGAGUAAAACCUCAUCUCCUAAAAAAUAAUAAUAAUAUUCUAGCAUGUUUAUAUGAAAAUAAUUGUGCUUUCCAAAACAGAAAUAAAAAUAGUGAGAAAUGUGUCAUUGUUUUACAUCUCUAUAUCAAAUGUAUAGACUACAGGUAGAUUUCCUUAUCUGCUUCUGCAGUCAUUCUAUUGCAAUAUGUUGUUUUGGUUAAGUAUACAUUUUUUUAAAUCUCACUGAGUGUGGGGGCUUAUGCCUAUACUCCCAGCACUUUGGAAGGCCAAGGCAGGAAGAUUGCUUGAGCUCAGGAGUUCAAGAUCAGUUUGGGCAACAUAGUGAGAUCCCUGCAUCCACCAAAAAAAAAUCUGGCGGCCAGGCACUGUGGCUCACGUCUGUAAUCCCAGCACUUUGGGAAGCCGAGGAGGGCAGAUCACAAGGUCAAGAGAUCAAGACCAUCCUGGCCAACGUGGUGAAACCCCAGCUAAUACAAAAAUUAGCUGGGUGUGGUGGUGCAUGCC
rnacentral:lncRNA from 10 species